rnacentral:rRNA from 1 species
GACGAACGCUGGCGGCGUGCUUAACACAUGCAAGUCGAACGGCAAGGCCCUGUUCUUGUGGGGUGCUCGAGUGGCGAACGGGUGAGUAACACGUGAGUAACCUGCCCUUUACUUUGGGGUAACUUCAGGAAACUGUGGCUAAUACCGGAUACGAGCUCCUGAUAUCUGGUGGGGGAAGGAAAGUUUCGGCGGUUGGGGAUGGACUUGCGGCUUAUCAGCUUGUUGGUGGGGUAGUGGCUUACCAAGGCUUUGACGGGUAGCCGGCCUGAGAGGGUGACCGGCCACAUUGGGACUGAGAUACGGCCCAGACUCCUACGGGAGGCAGCAGUGGGGAAUAUUGCACAAUGGGCGGAAGCCUGAUGCAGCAACGCCGCGUGCGGGAUGACGGCCUUCGGGUUGUAAACCGCUUUCGCCUGUGACGAAGCGUGAGUGACGGUAAUGGGUAAAGAAGCACCGGCUAACUACGUG